GUGAAAAGAGCAGAUGGGACGAAGAAAAUAGGAUUGUACUCCAUUCCAAAGGUCAGACAACAUGAAGGGGGUUUCACUAAAUCGCUCACAGAGGAACGUCGUCGUCUCUGGUUGGCAAAUAUUAAGAGGAAAGAUGAACCCUCGAAACAUGUCAGGGUCUGUUCGGACCACUUCAUUACAGGUCGCUCUGCUAACAUGUACGACCGAACAAAUCCUGACUGGGCGCCAACAUUGAAACUCGAGGAGAUGACUCCUACCGAAUCUCUGAAAAAGCAUGUUGAGCUUGAGAGAAAGCAAAACAGUUUUGUGUCUAAACAGAUUUCAUAGAACAGCAAAAAGGCAGGAAACAAAGAUGAGGAACGAUGCAGCCAGUGCUCUUCUUCACCU